UACGUAGGGGGCAAGCGUUGUCCGGAAUCAUUGGGCGUAAAGCGCGCGUAGGCGGCCCGGUAAGUCCGCUGUGAAAGUCAAAGGCUCAACCUUUGAAUGUCAGCGGAUACUGCCGGGCUAGAGUCCGGAAGAGGCGAGUGGAACUCCUGGUGUAGCGGUGGAAUGCGCAGAUAUCAGGAAGAACACCAACGGCGAAGGCAGCUCGCUGGGACGGUACUGACGCUGAGGCGCGAAAGCGUGGGGAGCGAACAGG
rnacentral:rRNA from 1 species